rnacentral:rRNA from 1 species
UACGUAGGUGACCAGCGUUGUCCGGAUUUACUGGGCGUAAAGAGCGCGCAGGCGGUCGUUCAAGUCGAGUGUGAAAGCCCCCGGCUCAACUGGGGAGGGUCAUUCGAUACUGAUCGACUCGAAGGCAGGAGAGGGAAGCGGAAUUCCCGGUGUAGUGGUGAAAUGCGUAGAUAUCGGGAGGAACACCAGUGGCGAAGGCGGCUUCCUGGCCUGAUCUUGACGCUGAGGCGCGAAAGCUAGGGGAGCAAACGGG